CUUCCUGUCUCUGAGUAGUAUUACCCCCUGUGUCUGAGUAUUAUCACUCCCUGUCUCUGAGUAUUAUUUCUCCCUGUCGCUGAGUAUUAUUACUUCCUAUAUAGUAUUCCCAGUAGUAUUAUUACUCCCUGUCGCUGAGUAUUAUUACUCCCUGUCGCUGAGUAUUACUACUUCCUGUGUCUGAGUAUUAUUACUCCCUGUCUCUGAGUAUUAUUUCUCCCUGUCGCUGAGUAUUAUUACUUCCUGUAUCUGAGUAGUAUUACUCCCAGUGUCUGAGUAUUAUUACUUCCUGUGUCUGAGUAUCAUCACUACCUGUGUCUCUGAGUAUUAUCACUCCCUGUGUCUGAG